CAAUAGCGUAUAUUAAAGUUGUUGCGGUUAAAAAGCUCGUAGUUGGAUUUCUGCUGAGAACGACCGGUCCGCCCUUUGGGUGUGUAUCUGGCUCUUUCUUGGCAUCUUCUUGGUGAACGUUGCUGCACUUGACUGUGUGGAGCGCUACCCAGGACUUUUACUUUGAGGAAAUUAGAGUGUUUCAAGCAGGCAUACGCCUUGAAUACAUUAGCAUGGAAUAAUAAGAUAGGACCUCGGUUCUAUUUUGUUGGUUUCUAGAGCUGAGGUAAUGAUUAAUAGGGAUAGUUGGGGGCAUUCGUAUUUAACUGUCAGAGGUGAAAUUCUUGGAUUUGUUAAAGACGGACCACUGCGAAANCANNNGCCAAGGAUGUUUUCAUNGA
rnacentral:rRNA from 1 species